CUUUGGAAACCAAAUCCAGGACCCAGCCCCAAGAUCAGAGCUGCCAGACCUCAACACACCUGCCAAUAACACCGAAUAGAAACUGGAGUCCCACAUAUGGACCUGAUCUUGACUGGCCAUCAAGAAAAGUUCAUCUGUCUUAUUGGGAGUGAUACUCCAAAGGAAGGUGCAGCAAACUUCACUGUAGGACAGACUGGUAGGAACGACAGUAGGACCAGCAACAGCCCAACCGGGUUAUCAAGAAUGUCCAGAACUGGAGACUGGAGAUAUUGCUGCACCUGUUAAUGCUGUAAAGGAAGCUUGGGUCUCUGCCACUGCCUUAUUAAAAACCAGUUCAGCCAGCUCCAGGACCAACUGAGCACCCCAUCUCCUCCUCCUGUCUCAUGAUAGCACUGACCCUUCCCCCUUCUCUGUCCCGAACUAGCCCCGAGGGACAAACUGACCAAGCCCUGCCUCUUCUCCCCAGCCAGCCCCAUGGACCGAUAGAGCCCCUGCUCCAGGGACAACUGAUCCCCUAUCCAUUCCCACCCCAGCCAACCAGCAUCAGGGCCCCACUGACAGGUUGUUGGGACCUGCCAGCAGAGCCCCCACUGCGCUUCCCUACUCCAGAAGACCAUAGUUGCCUUUCCCCUUCCACUAUCGCUCAGCAACUGUGCCCUGGAUGCUACUGUGAUGUUACACUCCAUAUGUUUUAUGGAAAUAGGGUAAUGAGUGUGAAUAUAAUGUAACUAGAACAUGCUUUAUGCAAAAGGUGUCUUGUAAGGUAUCAUUACAAAGCUUAUAAUCAUCCUGAGUGUUAAU